GACGAACGCUGGCGGCGUGCUUAACACAUGCAAGUCGAACGGAGAUUCAGCAAUGGAUCUUAGUGGCGAACGGGCGAGUAACGCGUAAGCAAUCUGCCUUCUAGAUGGGGACAACAUCCCGAAAGGGGUGCUAAUACCGAAUGUUGUACCGUUUCCGCAUGGAGAUGAUACUAAAGGUGGCCUCUGAAUAUGCUACCGCUAGAAGAUGAGCCUGCGUCUGAUUAGCUAGCUGGAGGGGUAACGGCCCACCAAGGCUUCGACGAGUAGCCGGUCUGAGAGGAUGCACGGCCACACUGGGACUGAGACACGGCCCAGACUCCUACGGGAGGCAGCAGUGGGGAAUCUUCCGCAAUGGACGAAAGUCUGACGGAGCAACGCCGGGUGAGUGAAGAAGGUUUUCGGAUCGUAAAGCUCUUUCGUUAGGGACGAACGUGCUCUUUGUGAAUAAUGAGGAGUAAUGACGGUACCUAAAUAAGAAGCCACGGCUAACUACGUGCCAGCAGCCGCCGUAA
rnacentral:rRNA from 1 species